rnacentral:rRNA from 1 species
CUUGUUGGUAGUGUAAUGGACUACCAAGGCGACGAUGGGUAGCUGGAUCGAGAGGUUGACCAGCCACACUGGGACUGAGAUACGGCCCAGACUCCUACGGGAGGCAGCAGUAAGGAAUCUUCCACAAUGGACGAAAGUCUGAUGGAGCAACGCCGCGUGCAGGAUGACGGCCUUCGGGUUGUAAACUGCUUUUAUAUGGGAAGAUUAUGACGGUACCAUAUGAAUAAGGACCGGCUAACUACGUGCCAGCAGCCGCGGUAAUACGUAGGGUCCAAGCGUUAUCCGGAAUCACUGGGCGUAAAGCGUGCGUAGGUGGCGUGUUAAGUGUGAUGUUAAAUCGCGGGGCUCAACCCUGUCGGUGCAUCGCAUACUGGCAUUCUAGAGGACAGCAGAGGCAAGUGGAACUCGUAGUGUAGCAGUGAAAUGCGUAGAUAUUACGAAGAACACCAAUGGCGAAGGCAGCUUGCUGGGCUACUCCUGACACUGAGGUACGAAAGCGUGGGGAGCGAACAGGAUUAGAUACCCUGGUAGUCCACGCCGUAAACGAUGCAUACUAGUCUUAUGGGGUAUCGACCCCCUGUGAGACGCAGCUAACGCGAUAAGUAUGCCGCCUGGGAAGUACGGCCGCAAGGCUAAAACUCAAAGGAAUUGACG